UCUAAUGAAGCUAACCAGCGUUGGUCUUGUAAACCAAAAACAAGAAUUUAAAUUCUCUAGAGCUCCA
rnacentral:tRNA from 1 species